UACGGGGGGGCAAGCGUUGUUCGGAAUUACUGGGCGUAAAGGGCUCGUAGGCGGCCAACUAAGUCAGACGUGAAAUCCCUCGGCUUAACCGGGGAACUGCGUCUGAUACUGGAUGGCUUGAGUUUGGGAGAGGGAUGCGGAAUUCCAGGUGUAGCGGUGAAAUGCGUAGAGAUGUGGAGGAACACCAGUGGCGAAGGCGGCUUUCUGGUCUGUAACUGACGCUGGAGGCGCGAAAAGCGUGGGGAGCAAACAGG
rnacentral:rRNA from 1 species